AUCAGUAGCAACGUCCAAAAUUAACAUCUCUUUGUUGCAUUAAACAUCAAUAAGCACUCAAUAAGGAAAUAAAAAAGACAAACAUAUCGAAAUGUAAUGCUUUUAACAUUCAGUGAUUCAGUCCCUAACAAUCACCAACAAUGUAUUAAAAGGAAAAUCCCAUAAAAGUUACCCAAAGUCCAAUAUUUUAUAGCUGUCCCAACAUAAUUUAG
rnacentral:misc_RNA from 1 species